UACAGGGGGUGCAAACGUUGCUCGGAAUCAUUGGGCGUAAAGCGCACGUAGGCGGUUCGUUAUGUCGGAUGUGAAAGCCCUUGGCUUAACCGAGGAAGUGCAUCCGAAACUGGCGAGCUAGAGUACGAAAGAGGAUCGCGGAAUUCCCGGUGUAGAGGUGAAAUUCGUAGAUAUCGGGGAGGAACACCGGGUGGCGAAGGCGGCGAUCUGGGUCGAUACUGACGCUGAGGUGCGAAAGCGUGGGGGAGCAAACAGG
rnacentral:rRNA from 1 species